CAAGAUACAGGAAAAGUUUUCAUUUAACUUUCUCAGAUAAGAGAAAUAGUACUUUAAUUAGUUGACGGCAAUCCCCCUUUCAAGGCAUCUAUUUCUUUCCAUAAAACGGGAAGAAAUAUAUUUCGACAGGGAUAAAAUAAUCCCGUGUUCUGUAGAUUUCAUUAUAUCUACUAAUUGAGUCUGUUCUGUGACAAUGGUAAACUUGUUUCUAAGCAGUACCGUCGCGAGGAAUUCACUCGCCAAAAAAUUUUCGGUCAAUGUACCAUUUUACGGGGUAAAAAAAAUUUUCCGGACAUUUCAAAAUCAGUUUCGAAACAUACAAAAAAUUUUUGCGGACAUAUCAAAAUUUUUCAAAACAUACACAUUUUCUCCGUUAAUCAAAAAAAUUUCUUGGGGAGAUACCAC